rnacentral:misc_RNA from 1 species
UCCAGUUCGAAUGUGACGAAGGUCUUCAUUAUUAAGACCUUGUCCCAGGACCUGAUGGCCAUCAACCAAAUUGCUACCAGCUCCAGACGCAUGAAUUUGUGGUUCCUCAAAUCGAGCAUUUGAUUGAUGCUGCACGCUCCAUCCUCUUUCAUGACUAUGAAUGUCGCUCUGGCGGCUGCGAAGAUCAUUUUGUUCCACAGGGUAGUAUGAGUGGUGCAAACUGGCAUCUGUAGUCACUGGGAACAUUUCUCUUUUUG